GAGGGUGUAGCUCGGGGGUAGAGUGCAUGCUUAGUGUACAUGAGGUCCUGGGUUCAAUCCCCAGCACCUCCA
rnacentral:tRNA from 1 species